ACCGGAGAAUGUUAUCACGGGAGACACACGGCGGGUGCUAACGUCCGUCGUGAAGAGGGAAACAACCCAGACCGCCAGCUAAGGUCCCAAAGUCAUGGUUAAGUGGGAAACGAUGUGGGAAGGCCCAGACAGCCAGGAUGUUGGCUUAGAAGCAGCCAUCAUUUAAAGAAAGCGUAAUAGCUCACUGGUCGAGUCGGCCUGCGCGGAAGAUGUAACGGGGCUAAACCAUGCACCGAAGCUGCGGCAGCGACACUAUGUGUUGUUGGGUAGGGGAGCGUUCUGUAAGCCGUCGAAGGUGUGCUGUGAGGCAUGCUGGAGGUAUCAGAAGUGCGAAUGCUGACAUAAGUAACGAUAAACAAGGUGAAAAACCUUGUCGCCGGAAGACCAAGGGUUCCUGUUCAACGUUAAUCGGAGCAGGGUGAGUCGACCCCUAAGGCGAGGCCGAAAGGCGUAGUCGAUGGGAAACAGGUUAAUAUUCCUGUACUUGGUGUUACUGCGAAGGGGGGACGGAGAAGGCUAUAUCAGCCGGGCGACGGUUGUCCCGGUUUAAGCGUGUAGGUGUGUGUUCCAGGCAAAUCCGGUUCACUUUACACUGAGGCGUGACGACGAGGCACUACGGUGCUGAAGUGAUAAAUGCCCUGCUUCCAGGAAAAGCCUCUAAGCAUCAGGUAACACAAAAUCGUACCCCAAACCGACACAGGUGGUCAGGUAGAGAAUACCAAGGCGCUUGAGAGAACUCGGGUGAAGGAACUAGGCAAAAUGGUGCCGUAACUUCGGGAGAAGGCACGCUGGCGGUAGGUGAAGGGACUUGCUCCCGGAGCUGAAGCCAGUCGAAGAUACCAGCUGGCUGCAACUGUUUAUUAAAAACACAGCACUGUGCAAACACGAAAGUGGACGUAUACGGUGUGACGCCUGCCCGGUGCCGGAAGGUUAAUUGAUGGGGUUAUCCGCAAGGAGAAGCUCUUGAUCGAAGCCCCGGUAAACGGCGGCCGUAACUAUAACGGUCCUAAGGUAGCGAAAUUCCUUGUCGGGUAAGUUCCGACCUGCACGAAUGGCGUAAUGAUGGCCAGGCUGUCUCCACCCGAGACUCAGUGAAAUUGAAAUCGCUGUGAAGAUGCAGUGUACCCGCGGCAAGACGGAAAGACCCCGUGAACCUUUACUACAGCUUGACACUGAACACUGAGCCUUGAUGUGUAGGAUAGGUGGGAGGCUUUGAAGCGUGGACGCCAGUCUGCGUGGAGCCGGCCUUGAAAUACCACCCUUUAAUGUUUGGUGUUCUAACGUAGGCCCGURAUCCGGGCUGCGGACAGUGUCUGGUGGGUAGUUUGACUGGGGCGGUCUCCUCCCAAAGCGUAACGGAGGAGCACGAAGGUUGGCUAAUCCUGGUCGGACAUCAGGAGGUUAGUGCAAUGGCAUAAGCCAGCUUGACUGCGAGAGUGACGGCUCGAGCAGGUGCGAAAGCAGGUCAUAGUGAUCCGGUGGUUCUGAAUGGAAGGGCCAUCGCUCAACGGAUAAAAGGUACUCCGGGGAUAACAGGCUGAUACCGCCCAAGAGUUCAUAUCGACGGCGGUGUUUGGCACCUCGAUGUCGGCUCAUCACAUCCUGGGGCUGAAGUAGGUCCCAAGGGUACGGCUGUUCGCCGUUUAAAGUGGUACGCGAGCUGGGUUUAGAACGUCGUGAGACAGUUCGGUCCCUAUCUGCCGUGGGCGCUGGAGAAUUGAGGGGGGUUGCUCCUAGUACGAGAGGACCGGAGUGAACGCACCGCUGGUGUCCGGGUUGUCACGCCAGUGGCACUGCCCGGUAGCUAAGUGCGGAAAAGAUAAGUGCUGAAAGCAUCUAAGCACGAAACUUGCCCCGAGAUGAGUUCUCCCUGAGCCUUUAAGGCUCCUGAAGGGACGUUGAAGACGACGACGUUGAUAGGCCGGGUGUGUAAGCGCAGCGAUGCGUUGAGCUUACCGGUACUAAUGA
rnacentral:rRNA from 1 species